UUCCUCUUCUUCUUCAUACUUGAGAAAUCAAAAUUCUCUAUUCACCUCUACUUCUUUCUUAUUUUUUCUUCUUCGAGAAACGAAAACCAAAAUCUAUCAUCAUUCUCAUUUUUUUCUCUUCGCCGAUCGACAUUGAAGUAAGCCGUGAGUUCGAGUUCAUCAUCAUUGAUUGAAUAACCCUCUCCAAUCGAGAUCGAUUUCAGUUGAACUGGAUUUGAUUUUAGAAUCUGAAGAUGAAAAUCAAACUAUCAAUCGCCAAGCUAAUGUCGACGCCAACACUCCGAUGAACGUACGUUUGCUUCUUCGCCUUCGCCGUCAGAUCUGAUCGUGUGAGAGGAUGAACAAGAGGAAGAUCGGAAAAAAUUCUCAGAGUUUCGUCUAAGGGUUUCGAAUGGACUUUUCGAGCGGAAGAUCAGAAAAAAUUCUCACGAGAGAAGACAACCACAAGAGAACGGUGGACCCACAUUACGCUUUCGAAUGGACUUUGCUGUUUGGGCCCUUUUUGCUUC